GAAGCAAGCCAGACCGCCGCUGGGGCAAGCGUGGAAACACGGCCCUGGAGGAAGGUCCGGACUGCAAAGAGCGGCGUAGCAGCUAACGGCUGCCCGGCGAAAGCCGAGGAUCAGAGCAACAGAGACGAGUCGAGGUGGGUCCACACCAGGUGCUCUAUGACCGAAAGGUCAUAGCCACCCGAGGUGGGCAAAGCCCACCUCGGGUGAAACGGGCAAUCUCUACGCGCAGCAACACCAAGUAGGCCAGCGUUGAUGCGGCUCGCAGAGCUGGCGGGUAGGUGGCACCGAGCCGGGCAGUGAUGUCCGGCCCAGAGGAAUGGCGGUCACGGGUGGCGGGGUGCAAGCCCCGGCGCCCGCACAGAAUCCGGCCUAUCGGCUUGCUUCACAC
rnacentral:RNase_P_RNA from 1 species